rnacentral:tRNA from 1 species
GGGGUGUUAGCUCAGCGGUAGAGCAAUUGACUGCAGAUCAAUAGGUCUUCAGUUCAAAUCCGGAACGCCCCU